CAUAUACCUUUCAGAAGGUUGAAAGAUCUGCUAGAUCUAUGAGAUGGUAGAGGAACAUUAAGUACUGGCUCGUGAAUAAUGCAUUCUUGAGGAUCCAUAGCUCUUUGCUCUUCAAAAAUCUUUUUUUCAAGCUCAACUAACCUCCCUCUUCCAUCAUCCUGGAUAAACUAUUUUUUUAGGAAUAUGGCAUUCUGACUUAUAAUUAUAUUAUGAUCUUAUGGAAAGUAGUAGUAUCCCAUUGAUUCUUUUGGAUAUCCUGUAAAACAAGCUAUUAUAGAUCCAUCCUCUAAUUUAUCAGCUAUUUGUCUCUUGACAUA
rnacentral:lncRNA from 1 species